CCUACGGGAGGCAGCAGUGAGGAAUAUUGGUCAAUGGCCGGAAGGCUGAACCAGCCAAGCCGCGUGAAGGACGAAGGUGCCAAGCAUUGUAAACUUCUUUUGUCAAGGGACAAAAUCAGGCUCGAGAGCCUGACCGAGGGUACUUGAAGAAAAAGCAUCGGCUAACUCCGUUCCAGCAGCCGCGGUAAUACAGGGGAUGCGAGCGUAAGCCGGAUUUCUUGUGUUAAAAGGGUGCGUAGGCUGGGUGUUAAGUCAGCGGUAAAAGCCCGGGGCCAAACCCCGGGUAGCCGUUGAAACUGGCGGUCUUGAGUGGUCGAGAGGGAUGCGGAAGGCGAAGUGUAGCGGUGAAAUGCUUAGAUAUUUCGCAGAACUCCGAUUGCGAAGGCAGCAUACCGGCGGAGAUCUGACGCUGAGGCACGAAAGCGUGGGUAUCGAACAGGAUUAGAUACCCGGGUAGUC
rnacentral:rRNA from 1 species